UACGUAGGUCCCGAGCGUUGUCCGGAUUUAUUGGGCGUAAAGCGAGCGCAGGUGGUUUAUUAAGGCUGGUGUAAAAGGCAGUGGCUCAACCAUUGUAUGCAUUGGAAACUGGUAGACUUGAGUGCAGGAGAGGAGAGUGGAAUUCCAUGUGUAGCGGUGAAAUGCGUAGAUAUAUGGAGGAACACCGGUGGCGAAAGCGGCUCUCUGGCCUGUAACUGACACUGAGGCUCGAAAGCGUGGGGAGCAAACAGG
rnacentral:rRNA from 1 species